rnacentral:rRNA from 1 species
CGGAUUUAUUGGGCGUAAGCGAGCGCAGGCGGAAUGAUAAGUCUGAUGUGAAAGCCCACGGCUCAACCGUGGAACUGCAUCGGAAACUGUCAUUCUUGAGUGCAGAAGAGGAGAGUGGAACUCCAUGUGUAGCGGUGGAAUGCGUAGAUAUAUGGAAGAACACCAGUGGCGAAGGCGGCUCUCUGGUCUGCAACUGACGCUGAGGCUCGAAAGCAUGGGUAGCGAACAGGAUUAGAUACCCUGGUAGUCCAUGCCGUAAACGAUGAGCGCUAGGUGUUGGGGACUUUCCGGUCCUCAGUGCCGCAGCAAACGCAUUAAGCGCUCCGCCUGGGGAGUACGACCGCAAGGUUGAAACUCAAAGGAAUUGACGGGGGCCCGCACAAGCGGUGGAGCAUGUGGUUUAAUUCGAAGCAACGCGAAGAACCUUACCAGGUCUUGACAUCCUGCGCUACACCUAGAGAUAGGUGGUUCCCUUCGGGGACGCAGAGACAGGUGGUGCAUGGCUGUCGUCAGCUCGUGUCGUGAGAUGUUGGGUUAAGUCCCGCAACGAGCGCAACCCUUGUCUUUAGUUGCCAUCAUUAAGUUGGGCACUCUAAAGAGACUGCCGGUGACAAACCGGAGGAAGGUGGGGAUGACGUCAAGUCAUCAUGCCCCUUAUGACCUGGGCUACACACGUGCUACAAUGGGCAGUACAACGAGAAGCGAACCCGCGAGGGUAAGCGGAUCUCUUAAAGCUGCUCUCAGUUCGGACUGCAGGCUGCAACUCGCCUGCACGAAGCUGGAAUCGCUAGUAAUCGCGGAUCAGCACGCCGCGGUGAAUACGUUCCCGGGCCUUGUACACACCGCCCGUCACACCAUGGAAGUCUGCAAUGCCCAAAGUCGGUGAGAUAACCUUUAUAGGAGUCAGCCGCCUAAGGAGGGAGAUGACUGGGGUGAAGUCUACAGGGACAA